rnacentral:rRNA from 1 species
CACGUAGGGGACGAGCGUUGUCCGGAUUCAUUGGGCGUAAAGCGCGCGUAGGCGGCUCGGAAAGUCGGUCGUGAAAUGCCGGGGCUCAACCCCGGGACUGCGUCCGAUACUCCCGAGCUGGAGGCAGGUAGGGGAGAUCGGAAUUCCUGGUGUAGCGGUGAAAUGCGCAGAUAUCAGGAGGAACACCGGUGGCGAAGGCGGCAUCCUGGACCAACACUGACGCUGACGGAGCGAAAGCCAGGGGAGCAAACGGG